AGAAACUUAGGAUAGAAGACCAAGGGCCUUCAAAGCCCAUAGCAGAAGUUGAACACUUCUAGUUUCUG
rnacentral:tRNA from 1 species